rnacentral:rRNA from 1 species
AGAUCUCACGCGAUGACGGGUAGCCGGCCUGAGAGGGCGACCGGCCACACUGGGACUGAGACACGGCCCAGACUCCUACGGGAGGCAGCAGUGGGGAAUAUUGCACAAUGGGCGAAAGCCUGAUGCAGCGACGCCGCGUGGGGGAUGACGGCCUUCGGGUUGUAAACCCCUUUCAGUAGGGAAGAAGCGAAAGUGACGGUACCUGCAGAAGAAGCGCCGGCUAACUACGUGCCAGCAGCCGCGGUAAUACGUAGGGCGCAAGCGUUGUCCGGAAUUAUUGGGCGUAAAGAGCUCGUAGGUGGCUUGUCGCGUCUGCCGUGAAAACCCGAGGCUCAACCUCGGGCGUGCGGUGGGUACGGGCAGGCUAGAGUGUGGUAGGGGAGACUGGAACUCCUGGUGUAGCGGUGAAAUGCGCAGAUAUCAGGAAGAACACCGAUGGCGAAGGCAGGUCUCUGGGCCAUUACUGACACUGAGGAGCGAAAGCAUGGGUAGCGAACAGGAUUAGAUACCCUGGUAGUCCAUGCCGUAAACGUUGGGCACUAGAUGUGGGGGACAUUCCACGUUUUCCGCGUCGUAGCUAACGCAUUAAGUGCCCCGCGUGGGGGAGUACGGAA